rnacentral:rRNA from 1 species
AGCGGCGGACGGGUGAGUAACGCGUGGGUAACCUGCCCUGUACACACGGAUAACAUACCGAAAGGUAUGCUAAUACGAGAUAAUAUACUUUUAUCGCAUGGUAGAAGUAUCAAAGCUUUUGCGGUACAGGAUGGACCCGCGUCUGAUUAGCUAGUUGGUAAGGUAACGGCUUACCAAGGCGACGAUCAGUAGCCGACCUGAGAGGGUGAUCGGCCACAUUGGAACUGAGACACGGUCCAAACUCCUACGGGAGGCAGCAGUGGGGAAUAUUGCACAAUGGGCGAAAGCCUGAUGCAGCAACGCCGCGUGAGCGAUGAAGGCCUUCGGGUCGUAAAGCUCUGUCCUCAAGGAAGAUAAUGACGGUACUUGAGGAGGAAGCCCCGGCUAACUACGUGCCAGCAGCCGCGGUAAUACGUAGGGGGCUAGCGUUAUCCGGAAUUACUGGGCGUAAAGGGUGCGUAGGUGGUUUCUUAAGUCAGAGGUGAAAGGCUACGGCUCAACCGUAGUAAGCCUUUGAAACUGGGAAACUUGAGUGCAGGAGAGGAGAGUGGAAUUCCUAGUGUAGCGGUGAAAUGCGUAGAUAUUAGGAGGAACACCAGUUGCGAAGGCGGCUCUCUGGACUGUAACUGACACUGAGGCACGAAAGCGUGGGGAGCAAACAGGAUUAGAUACCCUGGUAGUCCACGCCGUAAACGAUGAGUACUAGCUGU